rnacentral:rRNA from 1 species
UACGUAGGGGGCAAGCGUUGUCCGGAUUUAUUGGGCGUAAAGAGCGUGUAGGCGGCCAGACAGGUCAGCUGUGAAAACUCGAGGCUCAACCUCGAGACGUCGGUUGAAACCGUCUGGCUAGAGUCCGGAAGAGGAGAGUGGAAUUCCCGGUGUAGUGGUGAAAUGCGCAGAUAUCGGGAAGAACACCCGUGGCGAAGGCGGCUCUCUGGGACGGUACUGACGCUGAGACGCGAAAGCGUGGGGAGCAAACAGG